CCUCUCGUAGUUCAAUGGAUAGAACAUAGGUUUCCGGAACCUGCGAUGGAGGUUCGAUUCCUCCCGAGAGGA
rfam:Candidatus Magasanikbacteria bacterium RIFCSPHIGHO2_02_FTLL_47_14 rifcsphigho2_02_scaffold_15021, whole genome shotgun sequence.